GAUGAACGCUGGCGGCGUGCCUAAUACAUGCAAGUCGAGCGAACGGACCAUAAUCUUGCUUCUCUGAUGUUAGCGGCGCACGUGUGUGUAACACGUGGAUAACCUACCUAUAUUACUGGUAUAUCUUCGGGAAUCCGGAUCUAAUACCGUAUAAUAUUUUGAACCGUAUGGUUCAAUAGUGAAAGACGGUCUUGCUGUCACUUAUAGAUGGAUCCGCGCUGCAUUAGCUAGUUGGUAAGGUAACGGCUUACCAAGGCAACGAUGCAUAGCCGACGUGAGAGGGGGAUCGGCGACACGGGAAGUGAAACACGGACCAGACGACUACGGGAGGCAGCAGUAGGGAAUCUUCCGCAAUAGGCGAAAGCAUGACGGAGCAACGCGGCGUGAGUGAUGAAGGUCUUGGGAUCGUAAAACUCUGUUAUGAGGGAAGAACAGAUGUGUAAGUAACUGUGGAGAUCGUGACGGUAACUAAUCAGAAAGCAACGGCUAACUACGUG
rnacentral:rRNA from 1 species